UUAAAGUCAUUAGACUGGUUCGGACAUAAGUUCAAUCAAGUGGUUUUGCUAGGGCUUCGGGCAGACUAACCAGCCAGCGGCGAACCGCAGGUGCGCUGCCUAAGCAAAGGGGACGUUUCACGGAGGGUUGACGCGUGGGCCCGGCUGGCCAUUCCCUCCCGUCUCUGCUUCAAUGUUCUCGGAUUCAAUUGUACUAAUUGUACGCUAUCUCCUCCGGCUUUACAGAUUCCACAUGCACCCACAACUCGCAAGCGACUCGUAAGCAACUUGCAUGGAGUUUUGCAGGCAGUGGGCCGGAAGUCUGCGCGACGGGAGUUCCUGGCAGCUCGUGCUUUCGCAGUCGGCUUUUGAAAGCCACGCUUUUUAAUGAUCCUUCCGCAGGUUCACCUACGGAAA
rnacentral:misc_RNA from 1 species